AACGCACAUUGCGCCCGCCAGUAUUCUGGCGGGCAUGCCUGUCCGAGCGUCAUUUCAACCCUCGAACCCCUCCGGGGGGUCGGCGUUGGGGAUCGGCCCUUUCACCGGGUGCCGGCCCCUAAAUACAGUGGCGGUCUCGCCGCAGCCUCUCAUGCGCAGUAGUUUGCACACUCGCACCGGGAGCGCGGCGCGUCCACGUCCGUAAAACACCCCAACUUCUGAAAUGUUGACCUCGGAUCAGGUAGGAAUACCCGCUGAACUUAA
rnacentral:misc_RNA from 1 species